GCCUAGCUGGAAUAAUGUAAGAUUGAACAUUAGGAGGGAGGGCAUAGAGGUGGAUACCUGAGCUCAGCACACCAGGAGGUUGACAAGAGCAUGGAUAAGUAGAUUGGAUUUAACCAGUGAGAAACAACACCGGAAUCUGGAAAUUUGGAAGGGAUGGAGAGACCAGGGCUGCAGUUGAUAGCAGAACCUUUCUACAUAACCCUACAGCUCCUGCUUAGUGUCUUUACUACAGUGAUGGCAUGGUUACGCAUCUAGUAAUGAACACCUCAUCCUUUAGUAGUCAGG
rnacentral:sRNA from 1 species